rnacentral:rRNA from 1 species
UGGGGAAUUUUGGACAAUGGACGCAAGUCUGAUCCAGCCAUGCCGCGUGCGGGAAGAAGGCCUUCGGGUUGUAAACCGCUUUUGUCAGGGAAGAAACGAGUUUCUCUAAUACAGAGACUUAAUGACGGUACCUGAAGAAUAAGCACCGGCUAACUACGUGCCAGCAGCCGCGGUAAUACGUAGGGUGCAAGCGUUAAUCGGAAUUACUGGGCGUAAAGCGUGCGCAGGCGGUUAUGCAAGACAGAUGUGAAGUCCCCGGGCUCAACCUGGGAACUGCAUUUGUGACUGCAUAGCUGGAGUGCGGCAGAGGGGGAUGGAAUUCCGCGUGUAGCAGUGAAAUGCGUAGAUAUGCGGAGGAACACCGAUGGCGAAGGCAAUCCCCUGGGCCUACACUGACGCUCAUGCACGAAAGCGUGGGGAGCAAACA